rnacentral:rRNA from 1 species
UGGGGAAUAUUGGACAAUGGGCGCAAGCCUGAUCCAGCCAUGCCGCGUGAGUGAUGAAGGCCCUAGGGUUGUAAAGCUCUUUCACCGGUGAAGAUAAUGACGGUAACCGGAGAAGAAGCCCCGGCUAACUUCGUGCCAGCAGCCGCGGUAAUACGAAGGGGGCUAGCGUUGUUCGGAAUUACUGGGCGUAAAGCGCACGUAGGCGGAUCGAUCAGUUAGGGGUGAAAUCCCGGGGCUCAACCCCGGAAUUGCCUCUAAUACUGUCGAUCUGGAGUUCGAGAGAGGUGAGUGGAAUUCCGAGUGUAGAGGUGAAAUUCGUAGAUAUUCGGAGGAACACCAGUGGCGAAGGCGGCUCACUGGCUCGAUACUGACGCUGAGGUGCGAAAGCGUGGGGAUCAAACA